rnacentral:rRNA from 1 species
CGGCCUACGGGGGGCAGCAGUAGGGAAUUUUCGUCAAUGGGCGCAAGCCUGAACGAGCGAUGCCGCGUGAGUGAAGAAGGCCUUCGGGUCGUAAAGCUCUGUUGCGGGGGAAAAAAGGCAGCAUCAGGAAAUGGGUGCUGACUGAUGGUGCCCCGCCAGAAAGUCACGGCUAACUACGUGCCAGCAGCCGCGGUAAUACGUAGGUGGCAAGCGUUGUCCGGAUUUAUUGGGUGUAAAGCGAGUGCAGGCGGUUCAAUAAGUCUUAUGUGAAAGCCUUCGG